rnacentral:pre_miRNA from 1 species
UACAGUCAGUUUUGCAGGUUUGCAUCCCAGCUUACUAAAAUUGCUGUGCAAAUCCAUGCAAAACUGACUGUG